UACGUAGGGGCCUAGCGUUGUCCGGAUUUAUUGGGCGUAAAGAGCUCGUAGGCGGUUCGGCAAGUCGGAUGUGAAAUCUCCACGCUCAACGUGGAGGGGCCAUUCGAAACUGCCGUGACUCGAGUCCGGUAGGGGAGUGUGGAAUUCCCGGUGUAGCGGUGAAAUGCGCAGAUAUCAGGAGGAACGCCGGUGGCGAAAGCGAUCGUCUGGAGUGCAUGUGACGCUGAGGCGCGAAAGCUAGGGGAGCAAACGGG
rnacentral:rRNA from 1 species